UACGGGGGGGGCAAGCGUUGUUCGGAAUUACUGGGCGUAAAGGGCUCGUAGGCGGCCAACUAAGUCAGACGUGAAAUCCCUCAGCUUAACUGGGGAACUGCGUCUGAGACUGGUCGGCUCGAGGGCAGGAGGAGGAACGUGGAAGUUCCAGGUGUAGCGGUGAAAUGCGUAGAUAUCUGGAGGAACACCGGUGGCGAAGGCGGCGUUCUGGACUGCAUCUGACACUGAGGAACGAAAGCCAGGGGAGCAAACGGG
rnacentral:rRNA from 1 species